rnacentral:rRNA from 1 species
GACGAACCGUGCGAACGUUGUUCGGAUUCAUUGGGCGUAAAGGGUGUGUAGGUGGCGCGCUAAGUCGGGUGUGAAAUUUCGGAGCUUAACUCCGAAACUGCAUUCGAUACUGCCGUACUUGAGGACUGGAGAGGAGACUGGAAUUUACGGUGUAGCGGUGAAAUGCGUAGAUAUCGUAAGGAAGACCAGUGGCGAAGGCGGGUCUCUGGACAGUUCCUGACGCUGAGGCACGAAGGUCAGGGAGCAAACGGG